UUUGGUGGAACAUCGACUAAGAUCGCCACGUCCUGUGGCAACGCCGAUGAACUCACAUCCUUUGUGAG
rfam:Virgibacillus soli strain PL205 scaffold000003, whole genome shotgun sequence.